GCGAACGCUGGCGGCAGGCUUAACCCCUGCAAGUCGAACGGGCAUCUUCGGAUGUCAGUGGCAGACGGGCGAGUAACACGUGGGAACGUACCCUUCGGUUCGGAAUAACUCAGGGAAACUUGAGCUAAUACCGGAUACGCCCUUUUGGGGAAAGGUUUACUGCCGAAGGAUCGGCCCGCGUCUGAUUAGCUUGUUGGUGGGGUAACGGCCUACCAAGGCGACGAUCAGUAGCUGGUCUGAGAGGAUGAUCAGCCACACUGGGACUGAGACACGGCCCAGACUCCUACGGGAGGCAGCAGUGGGGAAUAUUGGACAAUGGGCGCAAGCCUGAUCCAGCCAUGCCGCGUGAGUGAUGAAGGCCUUAGGGUUGUAAAGCUCUUUUGUCCGGGACGAUAAUGACGGUACCGGAAGAAUAAGCCCCGGCUAACUUCGUG
rnacentral:rRNA from 1 species